rnacentral:rRNA from 1 species
GACGAACGCUGGCGGCGUGCCUAAUACAUGCAAGUAGAACGCUGAAGGAGGAGCUUGCUUCUCCGGAUGAGUUGCGAACGGGUGAGUAACGCGUAGGUAACCUGCCUGGUAGCGGGGGAUAACUAUUGGUAACGAUAGCUAAUACCGCAUAACAGUAGAUGUUGCAUGACAUUUUCUUAAAAGGUGCAAUUUCAUCACUACCAGAUGGACCUGCGUUGUAUUAGCUAGUUGGUGAUGUAACGGCUCACCAAGGCGACGAUACAUAGCAGACCUGAGAGGGUGAUCGGCAAAAAUGGGAAUGAGAAAAGGGCCAGACUGAUACGGGAGGCAGCAGUAGGGAAACUUCGGCAAUGGACGGAAGUCUGAACGAGCAACGACGCGUGAGUGAAGAAGGUUUUCGGAACGUAAAGAUCUGUUGUAAGAGAAGAACGAGUGUGAGAGUGGAAAGUUCACACUGUGACGGUAUCUUACCAGAAAGGGACGGCUAACUACGUG